rnacentral:rRNA from 1 species
GACAGAGGUGCCAAGCGUUAGGCGGAAUCACUGGGCUUAAAGCGUGUGUAGGCGGAAUGGUAAGUACCUUGUGAAAUCCCACGGCUCAACCGUGGAACUGCUGGGUAUACUGCUUUUCUUGAGCCACUUAGGGGCUGUCGGAACAAACGGUGGAGCGGUGAAAUGCGUAGAUAUCGUUUGGAACGCCAACGGUGAAAACAGACAGCUGGGAGUGUGCUGACGCUGAGACACGAAAGCCAGGGGAGCGAACGGG